GACUCGACGGUGGCGGUAUUUAAUUCGUAUCAAUCUCGAGUUAAUUACACCCGGAGCAUUCGAAACUUUUCCGUAUCUAUCUUAUCUGGUACGCUAGGCUCGGAUAUAUCAGCUUUCUAAGUUAGAUAUGUACAGGGUGGAUCAUAAAUGCAUGUCCAUUACUCAGGGGCUGAAUCUUUAGGCUAAAACAAGUGAAGAAACACUUUAUGGAUAUACACCUCGGUUUUCUGGCAAAGGACGAUCAGAGAAUGUUCCAUUAGACUGUUACUUUUGAAGCCGAUCAGCACACGAUCUACGAAAAUGAAAUACAAAACAGAUUUGUAUAUGGGACAUAUGUACGGUUCGUAAGACGAUUUUUAUUUUAUCGUAGUGCAUAGAUUCAGGCUCUGUAAUACAAACAUACAUUUAUGACUCACCUUGUACGAUCGAAUUAAACGAGAUCGUUGCAUGAUCGUGAAUGUAAUUUCGGUCAAGGUGAAGAAAAAAGUAAUUUUUUCCACUGUGAAAGUACCAAAGAACCAAGUUAAAUACGAAGAACGUCUAUACGCACGUGUAAUACAGUUGUGUAACUUCAUCACGCUUAAUUAUUACCCUUUGUUCUUUACCCUUUAAUCGGGCGACUGUUACACUCUGAUUAAAAUUUGCUCGCUUGGUUGCACUUGGGGUUAAGAUACAUGUACUAGUAGAGUAAAACACUUAUAUCUUCUUACGCCAUAAUUUGAUGCACGGUAUUAAUAUUCGUAAGAGGUACACGGUUAAUUGCUCAAAAUCUUGAAAGAUCCUUAACAUCUUUAAAGUAACAUUCGUGCGAGGAUUUUCCAUCGACCUUGUUACUAGUCUUAUGAUAAUAAAUGUAUUCGUGUUAAUAAAUUUACAAUGCUACUUAUACAUUAAAUAUAUUCUUUGGAGAAGUUUGAACUAUUUCAAAUACGAUUGAAAACUUCCCACGAUAUUAUAUGUAUUUUAGAAGAUUAUAAUAAUUCUCCGGCAGAAAGAACAGUCAAACUCGAUUUACAAAAGUCCAUUAAACCAAUCGUUGUCUGUAUUUUUUUUUUUUUUUAUUAUUCCCGAGUUAAAUUAGCAGAUUAAUAAUCGAAUUACGCGAGGAGAGGUCGUCCCACUUCUUACUCUGGCGCAAUCAUCCGUUCGGCAUCGGUCCGUCAGAAAAUCAAUUUCCCAAUUUGUUCGUCCGAUUAUACAACAGAAUAAGCCCUCGAUCGAGUUUCGUCCUCUUUCACUUUGUGAGUACAUAAGGUUUGUCCGACGAAAUAACUUCAUUAGCGAAACCAGGCCGCCAUUCUUUGCCGAGUGGAGGAUACGAUUAGAGAGGAUUCGCGAGUAACCGUCAGAGAGACGGAGAAACUUGGAUAGUUUAUAAUUCACGUAGCAACUUCGUCGUAACGUAAACAAUUAGUCGGAUUAAGAGGGUACUCGUUCGAGAAAGGGAGCAAGAAGGAGAAAGGGAGAUGGGGCUCGCGUCGAUCCGGUUUUAUUGUUCUAAUGAAUCGAUUUCAUCGAGGUAAAAAGCGCACCGCGAGCUUUUUCCAUGUUCCUGCAAAAGGCUGCGACACGAACAAGAAUGAAUAUUUAAUUUAUUUAAUGUUUAAUUUCUUUUUAUUUAAAAAAAAAUAAAAAAAACAUUUGUAUGGUAAUCGAAGGGCUCGUAACUAGAUAGUAGACCUUUUCGUAUUUAUGGGAAAUUUAAAAAUAGAAAAAUCCAUAUGAUGAUCGUAGCAAUAUGGAUUUCGAUAAACAUUCGCAGUCUAUUCGUAGUAAAAACGAUCCUUGUCAAAUUGUCCUAAUAAUUGUCUUUUAAAUAAUAAUACAUUUCAGUAACCAAGAGCCACGCUCGAACAACGUCGGUAUUAUAACAAGUAAUCUAUCUUUAGUUAUCGUUGGAUAAAAAUGAAACGGUUCAAUAAAGACUUUUGUCGCGAAGUCCACAAUUUUAUGAUUUAACUGGAUAUAAUUCUUCUCUGAUAUAAUUACAGAUACGGUCAUAAAAAUUACGUAAUGUGGGGAAUAUUUUUUU